rnacentral:rRNA from 1 species
UACGUAGGGUGCGAGCGUUGUCCGGAAUUACUGGGCGUAAAGAGCUUGUAGGUGGUUUGUCGCGUUGUUCGUGAAAUCUCACGGCUCAACUGUGAGCGUGCGGGCGAUACGGGCAGACUAGAGUACUGCAGGGGAGACUGGAAUUCCUGGUGUAGCGGUGGAAUGCGCAGAUAUCAGGAGGAACACCGGUGGCGAAGGCGGGUCUCUGGGCAGUAACUGACGCUGAUGUGCGAAAGCGUGGGGAGCAAACAGG